rnacentral:misc_RNA from 1 species
UGUAUGAGUUGUGWUUGGGWUGUUUUUGCUGGCUGGCUCCAUGCUUUUGCAUCGAACGGUUGGCAUGCAACUCCGUUUCAAGGACACCCCGCUCUUAGAUGCGGUGGUGCGUGGCCCCGGUUCCUUGUGUUGCCUACCUCUUGAAUGGUAUUCGUGUGGCUUGAUGGAUUCGUCCAUCCAGUGCCCCCCCGAGGGGUUCUGGGGGACUCCGAAGUGAUACACAUGCUCCGCCUUCGCUGCUCGAAGCAAGCAAUCGCGGUGCAUAUGUAUCUGCUGCUCUCUCGGACGCGGUGCAUGAGAUGAAACAUGGGAAAUUCUCCCAUUCAGUCCCUCAAAUCUUAGUUGCCUCGAAUGACACUUGCCCUCGUGCUUGCCUGCUCUCCACUCGUGGUCGGCACGCAAGCAUCGAUGUGCAAAGUUGUUAAUGGAUG